GGCGUCUCCGCUCCGGCCGCACGCUGCGGCCCGGGAGGCCCCGACGACGGCAGCGGCGGUGCUGGUGGCUUCACUCCCGGCGGCGCGGUGGUGUCCCGGCUUCGCCCCCCCGGGCAAAGGGCAUCCUCGGGCGGGCCGCCUGUGGGGUGGAAAAUGGCAGCUGCCCACCAGCACAGGCCGCGGCAGCUCUGCUGGCCAGAGGUGUCCGGGAUGCGCUGCCUGCUCAGGGGAUUGAAUGUCGCCUCUAGGACAACGUGUCACUUCAGUUCGUCCUUGCUCAGAAGCCAGGUGAAACGGGAGGAAGGCCAGAGAGCCCCCAAAGGCUGUAGGUGAACUUCAGCAUUCUUCUGAAGCCCACCAAGUCCUGCAUCUUCUGGAGCUCAGGGGAAGGAAAAAGCUCAGGCAUCUGCUUCUUCAGUUCAGUAACCAGCAGAUGACCCUCAACUGGGUUUUGCCAUCUAUAUAACACAUUUUUUUUAUACUAGAUGAUAUAAAACAUCAACAGUCUUACAUACCCAGUAAAAUGCACUACACAACAUGAUUAAAGUCCCAUAUGUUUGUUCAGAAUCACUCACGUGUAUGUAAAGUCACUGGUGCAAAGCUAGAGAGGGCAGUGACUCCCACCCUGUGUGUGCAGAAUGGCAGAGCAGACUUUUGGCGAACGAAGAAAUGUGCAGAGAACUUAAUUCUAAAAGCUUUUUGUGCAAAGAGCUUCCAAGAAAUGUUAGAAAGCGCUACAACACCUGUCCAGAAAUAAAAAAAGGCAUCCACGUAACAACUGGUGGUACACCCACUGGGCUGUACUCAGCUGUCAUGCCACAGAAGCUGUGAGGAACAGGUAAUACCAACAAUGACUGGUGACACAUUUAUUUGCUGGGAACUAUCUAUGUACCAGAUGAGUAAUUCUCACAGUACACCUGUGGGAUGGAAAAAUAUUUUCUCUGCCUUAUAAGAAAGAGUUUAGUCCAGAAUAUUUAGAAAGCCAACAAAAUAAUUCAGUGGAACAGGCAGAAAUUCCUCUUCUCUCAUACAUUCUGUCACUAAGACACCCUGUCCUAAAAAUAUACCCAAGUUGUGCAAACAUACCCCAGUAUCUUUCAUAAUUAUCAUGUGUUUGUUUCACCCUGUUCUUGUUUCAGUAAUAUCACAAUAUUAUUUUUGUUUUAUUGCUUUGCUUUAUAAAUGUUUACAGUACCUAAAACAUAACUAAUGAUAAUCAGGAAUUUUUAUCUUGCAGUAAAUUAAGCAAGCUGAUAGCAGCAGAGGGAAUAGUGUGGAAUGAGGAGAAUAUGGUUGAAACAAUGUAGUUUUAUAUAUUAACAGCAUAUAUGUUGAGUGUUUGAAUUUGCUGGUUUAAUAGAGAAAAUAUUAUCAUAAUAUAUUGUGGGUAUAAUAAAGAAAACAGCCUUUUCUUUUCAGGACAAAGGGGUUUUUUUGGUGAAGUAUUCAAUUUCUAAAGUCAAGAGACCCCCCCCCCCACCAAGCUUCAUUCAGCAGGUGAAUAAUGCUUGUGACAGGUAGAUCUACUACAUGCCUCAAGAAUGGCAUUUUUGUGUUGGCAAAUUUUGCAUCCAGGCUUUUCUGCUCUCUAAAACUUCACUUUGUAGACGCAUGUUGUUUGUACUGGUACAGCAUUUCAUCUCCCGAGCAAAAUUUUGUAGUAUUCUGCAAAAACAGUGCUGGCACCCAGUUUGGAGGGUGUGUUUAUAGACAUGGGGUGGUACUCUUUGAAAAGGGGUCCUACAGCUGUUGCCUGAACUGUAGUAAUAAUUUAGGUUAUUGGAAGAGAGUGAAGGUAUCUGCAGAUGGAGCACACAGUGGUUGCACUCUAGGAGGACACUGAAGACCAGCAUGUGUGAAUCUAACAACACUUGUUCUAUAAAGUGUUCCACUGUAGUUUCACAUAAAUCUUGCUGCUGGAGCAAACUUAAUCCUAGUGAGCAGAGAGAUCUCUUCACUGAAACUGAUGGCUGUUGCAGAACUUUAAUUAGUCUCAGUACCUAUAAUAAUGCAUUUAGUAACACGCUUUAGUGUUUUAAAAGACUUGUAAAAUCUACUUUCCCUAAUUCUCUGCCUCUCUAACUGCCUUGCCAAGACCUAUUUCUCCUGUGAGGUCUACAGAAAAGCCCAACUACAAGCACUAAAUGGUACCUGGCAAAAUUGAUGCUUAAUAUUUACCUAAUCCCAAAUCAAUGAUCAUAAAUGUGUAUGUAUAUAUAGGCAUUGUAAAUAUGGAAUUAUCUUUCUCUUCCCUCAUGCUUCUUUUAUUGGUCUUUGGAGUCUUAUUUAUAGUCUUAACGAUUUUCUGUGAAUGGCUGAACAGAAUAAUUUUACCUCAGAGAGAAAUUGCAUCAUGCUGAUCUCACUACACUGGAUCUGUACUGGCCUCAUCCCCCUGGUUUUAGUCUUCAUUUAAAACUAAUGAGAAUGUGGCCACCACUAGCAUACCAUUUUCUGUGAAGAAUGAAGCAGGUUUGACCCUGCUGAAGUGUCCAGGGGUGCUGUGCUCUGAACAGAAACAAGAUAACAUCUGUGAUUAAAAAGAGAGAGGAAGUAUUGGAAUUACAUUUAUAGCUGUGUGAAAUUGCUAUAAUUUGAAUCCUGCUUUUAUGAUGCAGACUAGGAACUGACCAAAGUCACGUCUCAUUCUGACCUCCAAACAGGACCCUGUGUUUGCACUCUAACAAUGCUGUUUCAUCUCUCAAUAUGUUGUUUUCUUCCUGUGAAAGUGGGGCCAAGGCUGCCAAAGCUCUUAGGGCUGCUAAACCUUAAUUAAUGUCAGUGUAGCAGUCUGAGAUUCUUUUCUUAUUUUCCUUUCUUCAGUAACAUAAAUCUAAGACUGUUAUUUUAUUUUCUCUCUUGUUUUUGUAGUCUGCAAUUGUCUGCAACCUUUCAAGCCUUCAGUCCCUCCAAAAUCCGGUUCUUUCCAGUGGAUUUCUCUAUCUUUGCUGAUGUUUUAUUCUACUAUGUCCAGAAUCUGUUACCUAUGUUAUGCCAUCUUCAAAAGUUAAACUCUCCUCAAGAUAAUUCACAACCUUAAAUGAAGAUAUUUAAUGACAUAGAAAGGUCAUUAAAUAUCUUUGUCAGGUCUUUGUCAGGUUAAGUGGCUUCUUAAACAGAAGAGUUCUGAGGAAGACCACAUAUUUAUUUGUGAAACUGGAUGGAUGUAAGUUUCUGCCACUGCCACACAAAGUACAGAUAAUCCAUUGAUUCAGAAGGAAAGUGGAUGCAUUUACAUUGUCUGGCUGAUGCCUGUACAAAGCUAGUGUUGCUCAACUUACAGCAGCAAUAACUCAGCAUGAGAGCUGCUUCUAAACCUACUUUAUUUGCAGUGGUUCAUAAUUUCUGUUGAUCAUAAUCAAGGCUUUCAAUGUCCACUGCUCUAGAACGAGUACCUCUUCUGCUGGUGAACACUCAGGGCUGGAUUAUGGACUUUGUUUUAUUAAAAGGGUGUGAUCAGAGAUUAAUUCAGUGAGGAUCUCACUGUGAAAGUGAUUUUCAAAAAAGAGCUGCUACUGUCAUUUAAGUAGCAUUGAUGGAAGGGAUGAGGAAUGAGG